UCUACAAAUGGCAUCCUCAGGAUAGACAAGGCUUUUUGAAAGGAUGCAGCCUCGGAAGCUGCAGAGAAGUCUUUCUACAAACGGUAUCCUCAGGACAGACAAGGCUUUUUGAAAGGAUGCAGCCUCGGAAGCUACAGAGAAGGCUUCCUACACACGGUAUCCUCAAGACAG